CAUGUCAGCGCGCUUUGCUGACAUGGACACAAAUCGCGCUCCAGAGGACGCAAUUUGUUGCCAUGUCAGCAAAGCGCGCUGACGUGG
rfam:Gossypium raimondii Chr13_contig_405, whole genome shotgun sequence.